rnacentral:rRNA from 1 species
UACAUCGGAAUCUACUCUGUCGUGGGGGAGUAACGUAGGGAAACUUACGCUAAUACCGCAUACGACCUACGGGUGAAAGCAGGGGAUCUUCGGACCUUGCGCGAUUGAAUGAGCCGAUGUCGGAUUAGCUAGUUGGCGGGGUAAAGGCCCACCAAGGCGACGAUCCGUAGCUGGUCUGAGAGGAUGAUCAGCCACACUGGAACUGAGACACGGUCCAGACUCCUACGGGAGGCAGCAGCC